ensembl:lncRNA
GAGUGUAAUAACCUCAACAGUUUCCAUAUAGCCAGCCAAUCGCAAGGCUUCUUUUUCUACGUGUGUGUGGGUGUUUGUGUGUGUUAGUCUGUGUCUGUAUGUGUAUGUGUAGUUUCUAAUGUCUUACUCCGCAACGGAUCAUCACAAUGAGCUGGAUGUAUAUCUUUCUACCCAUCGCCUUGGGUGCUGUUGUGUCCUCUUACACCGUAGUGGAGCUGUACGUGAGACCAGGAGAAACCGUUACUGUACCUUGUGACUGUAAACUCUCAUCUGGUGAAACUAUUGUUUGGUACAGGAACUGUUCUCAUGAAAAUCAGCCCCCACUUAUUCUGACAUGGCAGGAAUUAGAGGAGAAUAAGGACUCCAAAAUAUCCAAUCUAAAUGGGAUGUGGAACCAUUCUUCAAAAACAUACACUUUACUGAUUACGAACAUAUCUGAUUCUCACCUUGGUCUCUACUAUUGUCGAACUGAAAAAAAGUAUGUGACAGAGCAAGACCAGAAUCAUACAAAGUAUGAACACAGAUAUGGAAAUGUAACCACAAGGAUUUCAUUUGAUACAAGUGUAGGUCCUUCUCCGAAGGACAUUGGUUUUGGGGACUCUGCUGCUCCAGACUGUGGACAGUGCUGGAUGCUGCUGGUCACACUGUGCCCGUCCUCUGCUCUCCUCUCUUUGGUCCUCUACCUCCUCUGCAGUCAAAUGGUUUGUGCCAGAAAACCCCCUGGCGUCUCUCAGGAAAACAGACCUUUAUUACCGCAACAUGAGGAUGAAAACUAUAGCCGUGUAUUUUAUGCUGUGAUGAAAACUCCACAAAAAUAAGGAUCUCACAGCUUCUUCGUUUGCAGUACGAGUGGGCUUUGAGAGGCGGAUUGGUUAGAGUUCCUCCCUCCACAACACACGCAGCCCAACGCACACACAUAGACUCACUCACAACAACAAACAAACACACAGUCGUACAUACAAACACACAUGAAUUGGAAUUCCC